AGUGAACACUGGCGGUAGGCCUAACACAUGCAAGUCGAACGGCAGCACGGGAGAGCUUGCUCUCUGGGUGGCGAGUGGCGGACGGGUGAGGAAUACAUCGGAAUCUACCUUUUCGUGGGGGAUAACGUAGGGAAACUUACGCUAAUACCGCAUACGACCUACGGGUGAAAGUGGGGGACCGCAAGGCCUCACGCGAUUAGAUGAGCCGAUGUCCGAUUAGCUAGUUGGCGGGGUAAUGGCCCACCAAGGCGACGAUCGGUAGCUGGUCUGAGAGGAUGAGCGGCCACACUGGGACUGAGACACGGUCCAGACUCCUACGGGAGGCAGCAGUGGGGAAUAUUGGACAAUGGGCGCAAGCCUGAUCCAGCCAUACCGCGUGGGUGAAGAAGGCCUUCGGGUUGUAAAGCCCUUUUGUUGGGAAAGAAAUCCUGUCGAUUAAUACUCGGUGGGGAUGACGGUACCCAAAGAAUAAGCACCGGCUAACUUCGUGCCAGCAGCCGCCGUAAUAC
rnacentral:rRNA from 1 species